rnacentral:snRNA from 1 species
UCACUUAAGCAGCAAAUACACUAAAAUUGAAACAAUAUAGAGAAGGUUAGCAUGGCCUCUGCACAAGGAUGACACACAAAUUCGUGAAGCAUUUCACAUUUUU